ACAAAAAAAACAAGAAGAAACAAAGAAAAAAAAGGUUUUUCAAUCACAUGUAGAAUACUACCUACUGCGUUACUAAUAUUUCAUCUAAACGAUUUUCAAACACGGAUCCACCAACACUUUAAUCGUCUCUCCGGUUGGGCUUGUGCAAAAGACUACUUUGAAGAUUUUCCACAUUCUUGCUCCAUCAUCUCACUCAAAAGGAAUUAGACGAUCAAGUCG
rnacentral:lncRNA from 1 species